rnacentral:rRNA from 1 species
UACGGAGGAUCCGAGCGUUAUCCGGAUUUAUUGGGUUUAAAGGGUGCGCAGGCGGGAGAUUAAGUCGGCGGUGAAAUUUUGCAGCUCAACUGUAAAAGUGCCUUCGAAACUGGUUUCCUUGAGUGUAGAUGAAGUAGGCGGAAUUUGUGGUGUAGCGGUGAAAUGCAUAGAUAUCACGAGGAACUCCGAUUGCGCAGGCAGCUUACUAAACCAUAACUGACGCUCAGGCACGAAGGCGUGGGGAUCAAACAGGAUUAGAUACUCGGGUAGU